rnacentral:rRNA from 1 species
GAUGAACGCUGGCGGCGUGCUUAACACAUGCAAGUCGAACGGAAAGGCUCCUGCUUUCCGGGGUACUCGAGUGGCGAACGGGGGAGUAAAACGUGGGUGAUCUGUCCUGCACUUCGGGAUAAGACUGGGAAACUGGGUAUAAUACCGGAUAGGAUGUAGGUUAGGAUGCCAUUGUGGAAAGUUUUUCGGUGUGGGUUGAGCUCGCGGCCUGUCAGCUUGUUGGUGGGGUAAUGGCCUACCAAGUCGUCGACGGGUAGCCGGCCGGAGAGGGUGUACGGCCACAUUGGGACUGAGAUACGGCCCAGACUCCUACCGGAGGCAGCAGUGGGGAGUAUUGCACAAUAGGCGCAAGCCUGAUGCAGCGACGCCGCGUGGGGGAUGACGGCCUUCGGGUUGUAAACUCCUUUCGCUAGGGACGAAGCGCAAGUGACGGUACCUGGAGAAGAAGCACCGGCUAACUACGUG